GGCCUACGCUGGUGCUAAGACAUAUAAUCACGAGCAGGACAGAUGCUUGCUUGCUCCCUGAUGUUAGCGGCGGACGGGUGAGUAACACGUGGGUAACCUGCCUGUAAGACUGGGAUAACUCCGGGAAACCGGGGCUAAUACCGGAUGGUUGUCUGAACCGCAUGGUUCAGACAUAAAAGGUGGCUUCGGCUACCACUUACAGAUGGACCCGCGGCGCAUUAGCUAGUUGGUGAGGUAACGGCUCACCAAGGCGACGAUGCGUAGCCGACCUGAGAGGGUGAUCGGCCACACUGGGACUGAGACACGGCCCAGACUCCUACGGGAGGCAGCAGUAGGGAAUCUUCCGCAAUGGACGAAAGUCUGACGGAGCAACGCCGCGUGAGUGAUGAAGGUUUUCGGAUCGUAAAGCUCUGUUGUUAGGGAAGAACAAGUGCCGUUCAAAUAGGGCGGCACCUUGACGGUACCUAACCAGAAAGCCACGGCUAACUACGUGCCAGCAGCCGCGGUAAUACGUAGGUGGCAAGCGUUGUCCGGAAUUAUUGGGCGUAAAGGGCUCGCAGGCGGUUUCUUAAGUCUGAUGUGAAAGCCCCCGGCUCAACCGGGGAGGGUCAUUGGAAACUGGGGAACUUGAGUGCAGAAGAGGAGAGUGGAAUUCCACGUGUAGCGGUGAAAUGCGUAGAGAUGUGGAGGAACACCAGUGGCGAAGGCGACUCUCUGGUCUGUAACUGACGCUGAGGAGCGAAAGCGUGGGGAGCGAACAGGAUUAGAUACCCUGGUAGUCCACGCCGUAAACGAUGAGUGCUAAGUGUUAGGGGGUUUCCGCCCCUUAGUGCUGCAGCUAACGCAUUAAGCACUCCGCCUGGGGAGUACGGUCGCAAGACUGAAACUCAAAGGAAUUGACGGGGGCCCGCACAAGCGGUGGAGCAUGUGGUUUAUUCGAAGCAACGCGAAGAACCUUACCAGGUCUUGACAUCCUCUGACAUCCUAGAGAUAGGACGUCCCCUUCGGGGCAGAGUGACAGGUGGUGCAUUGUUGUCGUCAGCUCGU
rnacentral:rRNA from 1 species